rnacentral:rRNA from 1 species
AUAGAUUAAGUUAUUAAGGGCGCACGGUGGAUGCCUUGGCACUAGAAGCCGACGAAGGACGUUACUAACGACGAUAUGCUUUGGGUAGCUGUAAGUAAGCGUUGAUCCAGAGAUUUCCGAAUGGGGGAACCCAGCACGAGUUAUGUCGUGUUAUCGACAAGUGAAUUCAUAGCUUGUCAGAAGGCAGACCCGGAGAACUGAAACAUCUUAGUACCCGGAGGAAGAGAAAGAAAAAUCGAUUCCCUGAGUAGCGGCGAGCGAAACGGGAAGAGCCCAAACCAAUAAGCUUGCUUAUUGGGGUUGUAGGACACUCUAUACGGAGUUACAAAGGAAUAUAUUAGACGAAUCAUCUGGAAAGUUGAAUCAAAGAAGGUAAUAAUCCUGUAGUUGAAAAUAUAUUCUCUCUUGAGUGGAUCCUGAGUACGACGGAGCACGUGAAAUUCCGUCGGAAUCUGGGAGGACCA